rnacentral:rRNA from 1 species
UACGUAGGGGGCUAGCGUUGUCCGGAAUCAUUGGGCGUAAAGCGCGUGUAGGCGGUCCGGUAAGUCCGCUGUGAAAGUCGGGGGCUCAACCCUCGAAUGCCGGUGGAUACUGUCGGGCUAGAGUGCGGAAGAGGCGAGUGGAAUUCCUGGUGUAGCGGUGAAAUGCGCAGAUAUCAGGAGGAACACCAAUUGCGAAGGCAGCUCGCUGGGACGUUACUGACGCUGAGACGCGAAAGCGUGGGGAGCGAACAGG